UGGCGGCGUGGAUUAGGCAUGCAAGACGUGCGAGAACUUCUCUUAGCUUGCUUUGAGAAGGGACAGCGGCGUAGGGGAGAGUAACGCGUGGUUACGUGCCCCGGGGACCGGGAUAGCGUUGGGAAACUGACGGUAAUACCGGAUAAUAUCCUUGGAUCAAAUGGUGUGAUUCCGCCUUGGGAUCGGACCGCGUACUAUUAGCUUGUUGGUGAGGUAACGGCUCACCAAGGCUGCGAUGGUUACCGGGUGUGAGAGCAUGGCCCGGCUCACUGGGACUGAGACACUGCCCAGACAUCUACGGAUGGCUGCAGUCGAGAAUCUUCGGCAAUGGACGAAAGUCUGACCGAGCGACGCCGCGUGCGGGAUGAAGGCCUUCGGGUUGUAAACCGCUGUCAGUUAGGAGGAAAUCCAUGGGGGUUAUCCCUUAUGGUUGACCGAUUUUCAGAGGAAGGACGGGCUAAGUUCGUGCCAGCAGCCGCGGUAACACGAACCGUCCAAACGUUAUUCGGUAUCACUGGGCUUAAAGCGUGCGUAGGCGGCUUGGAAGGUGAGAUGUGAAAGCCCACGGCUCAACCGUGGAAUUGCGUUUCAAACCCUCAAGCUUGAGGAAGACAGGGGUGAUGGGAACUUAUGGUGGAGCGGUGAAAUGCGUUGAUAUCAUAGGGAACACCGGUGGCGAAGGCGCAUCACUGGGUCUUUUCUGACGCUGAGGCACGAAAGCUAGGGUAGCGAACGGGAUUAGAUACCCCGGUAGUCCUAGCUGUAAACGAUGAGCACUGGGUUGAGGGGACUUCCACAUCCUCUCGGCCGUAGCGAAAGCGUUAAGUGCUCCGCCUGGGGAGUAUGGUCGCAAGGCAA
rnacentral:rRNA from 1 species